GGGCACAUAGCUCAAUGGCAGAGCGCCAAGCUUAUACCUUGGUGGUUCCAGGUUCGAGUCCUGGUGUGCCCA
rnacentral:tRNA from 1 species